UCCUACGGGGGGCAGCAGUAGGGAAUCUUCCACAAUGGGCGAAAGCCUGAUGGAGCAACGCCGCGUGGGUGAAGAAGGUCUUCGGAUCGUAAAACCCUUUUGUUAGAGAAGAAAGUGAGUGAGAGUAACUGUUCACGUUUCGACGGUAUCUAACCAGAAAGCCAAGGCUAACUACGUGACAGCAGCCGCGGUAAUACGUAGGUGGCAAGCGUUAUCCGGAUUUAUUGGGCGUACAGGGAACGCAGGCGGUCUUUUCAGUCUGAUGUGAAAGCCUUCGGCUUAACCGGCGUAGUGCAUUGGAAACU
rnacentral:rRNA from 1 species